GACGAACGCUGGCGGCGUGCCUAACACAUGCAAGUCGAGCGAUUCUCUUCGGAGAAGAGCGGCGGACGGGUGAGUAACGCGUGGGUAACCUGCCCUGUACACACGGAUAACAUACCGAAAGGUAUGCUAAUACGGGAUAAUAUGCUUUAGUCGCAUGGCUGAAGUAUCAAAGCUCCGGCGGUAUAGGAUGGACCCGCGUCUGAUUAGCUAGUUGGUAAGGUAACGGCUUACCAAGGCGACGAUCAGUAGCCGACCUGAGAGGGUGAUCGGCCACAUUGGAACUGAGACACGGUCCAAACUCCUACGGGAGGCAGCAGUGGGGAAUAUUGCACAAUGGGCGAAAGCCUGAUGCAGCAACGCCGCGUGAGCGAUGAAGGCCUUCAGGUCGUAAAGCUCUGUCCUCAAGGAAGAUAAUGACGGUACUUGAGGAGGAAGCCCCGGCUAACUACGUGCCAGCAGCCGCCGUAACAC
rnacentral:rRNA from 1 species